rnacentral:rRNA from 1 species
UGGGAUAACUCCGGGAAACCGGAGCUAAUACCGGAUAGUUCCUUGAACCGCAUGGUUCAAGGAUAAAGACGGUUUCGGCUGUCACUUACAGAUGGACCCGCGGCGCAUUAGCUAGUUGGUGAGGUAACGGCUCACCAAGGCGACGAUGCGUAGCCGACCUGAGAGGGUGAUCGGCCACACUGGGACUGAGACACGGCCCAGACUCCUACGGGAGGCAGCAGUAGGGAAUCUUCCGCAAUGGACGAAAGUCUGACGGAGCAACGCCGCGUGAGUGAUGAAGGUUUUCGGAUCGUAAAGCUCUGUUGUUAGGGAAGAACAAGUGCAAGAGUAACUGCUUGCACCUUGACGGUACCUAACCAGAAAGCCACGGCUAACUACGUGCCAGCAGCCGCGGUAAUACGUAGGUGGCAAGCGUUGUCCGGAAUUAUUGGGCGUAAAGGGCUCGCAGGCGGUUUCUUAAGUCUGAUGUGAAAGCCCCCGGCUCAACCGGGGAGGGUCAUUGGAAACUGGGAAACUUGAGUGCAGAAGAGGAGAGUGGAAUUCCACGUGUAGCGGUGAAAUGCGUAGAGAUGUGGAGGAACACCAGUGGCGAAGGCGACUCUCUGGUCUGUAACUGACGCUGAGGAGCGAAAGCGUGGGGAGCGAACAGGAUUAGAUACCCUGGUAGUCCACGCCGUAAACGAUGAGUGCUAAGUGUUAGGGGGUUUCCGCCCCUUAGUGCUGCAGCUAACGCAUUAAGCACUCCGCCUGGGGAG